GGGAGCAAGAGCCCGGAGAUGGAUUCUGAGACACGAAUCCAGGCCCUACGGGGCGCAGCAGGCGCGAAAACUUUACAAUGCAGGCAACUGUGAUAAGGGAACCCCGAGUGCCCGUAUGGACGGGCUGUUCAGGUGCUUAAAAACCACCUGGAGAAAGGGCCGGGCAAGACCGGUGCCAGCCGCCGCGGUAAUACCGGCGGCUCGAGUGGUGGCCACUAUUACUGGGCUUAAAGCGUCCGUAGCUUGGUCGUUAAGCCUCUGGGGAAAUCUUCCGGCUCAACCGGAAGGCGUCUCAGGGGAACUGGCGACCUAGGGAUCGGGAGAGGUGAGAGGUACUCUGGGGGUAGGAGUGAAAUCCUGUAAUCCUCAGGGGACCACCUGUGACGAAGGCGUCUCACCAGAACGACUCCGACAGUGAGGGACGAAAGCUGGGGGAGCAAACCGGAUUAGAUACCCGGGUAGUCCCAGCCGUAAACAAUGCGCGUUAGGUGAGUAUUGGGAAUUCCUGCAGC
rnacentral:rRNA from 1 species